GAUGAACGCUAGCGGCAGGCUUAAUACAUGCAAGUCGAACGGUAAGGUCUCUUCGGAGAUACACGAGUGGCGCACGGGUGCGUAACGCGUAUGCAACCUACCUUUAACUGGGAAAUAGCCCCGAGAAAUCGGGAUUAAUGUCCCAUACUAUUCUGAGAAUGCAUAUUCUUAGAAUGAAAGCUCCGGCGGUUAUUGAUGGGCAUGCGUGACAUUAGCUAGUUGGUGAGGUAACGGCUCACCAAGGCUACGAUGUCUAGGGGUCCUGAGAGGGUUAACCCCCACACUGGUACUGAGACACGGACCAGACUCCUACGGGAGGCUG
rnacentral:rRNA from 1 species